rnacentral:SRP_RNA from 1 species
UAAUGUUGCCAUUAUAAAGAUUGCAUCUGAAUCUAGUCAGGACCGGAAGGUAGCAGCUAUAAGGAAACGCGUCUUGUAUAGUGGUUUUUCUUUUGUG